AUGCCAGCAGCAAUGCCUGGUGAUGGUCAUGGAGAGCCUUGGGGGUCAUUGGGCUGCAGCAGCUCUGCCGAGACCUAUGACGGUUUGGAUUGCAAAAAAAAACGCGCUCCCCAAGCACGAAGGACCCAGGCCCGUGACCACCACGGAUGCGAUCCUGCUCUCGCUGAAAUCCCAGGGGACGUUACCGGAGCAGACGGAGGUCUCCAUUCAGCCGCCCAAGAUGGAAGAAAACUGAAUGUGCCCUUGUGGAUUUGCUGCUCUGAAACCACGUGCCUUGCACCAUCGGUGUGAAAAGUGGUACUGGAGAAAUAGCUCAGAAAUUGCUAUGUCGGAUGCAAUCACGCUGUUAUCUUUCCAAAGAAGGAAGUUUAUUUCUGUGAGCAAAACAGAUCUAUUCAGCAAACUGUGUAGAGUUUAAACUGUAAUAAUAGACUGGUGGAAAAACAUGUAAUUUGCCUUCAUCUAAUCAAGAAACCAGGACAGAGUUAAAGCAAUAUAUUUUUUACCCGGUGGCAGCUGAAAAAAUUGGAGCUUACUCUGUAUUGUUUUGGCCUGAAAAUAGGAUGCAGAACCCUUCUGCAAGUGUUUUACCAUUAGCAAUUAGCUUAUGCAUCCAACUGUACUCUGUAUGAGCUAUGAGAUCUGCAUGCAAGCGAGAAGUCUUGCAUCUCACGUACCGUACGCAGUAUCAGUCACGACUCUUCAGGGAGGGAGCUCUGCCUGAAUUAGAAAAGAGGCAGAGAAGGGCAGAAAUGCAGAUAAGAUAUUAGCAAGGCUUGUGUCUGAAGAGGUCCUGGCUAGACCAGGACUGGUUUAUCAAGGAGAUGAUGGGCAAGGGAAAUACAACAGGAAUUUGCAAGAAGCUUUUGUUUUUUGGAGGAUUUUUUUUUCAGUGUUUGAAUGGCUUCUGUGUAACAGAAAGCACGUGUGAGGGUGCCACUGCUCUGGCCUUGGGCACCGGGGUUUCCUGGUCCCGUCUGACACCAAACCUGUGGGACUGAUGGGAGAGGGGACACGAGCAGGAGCCCAGCCCGAGCAGGAGGGGUCACAUCCUCCUGACAACGGAAUGUGAGAUAAAGCCUUCUGACCACAAAUUGAAGAUAUUCAGAAAACCACAACGCUGGCACGGUCACGCCUAACCCUGCUCAUCCAAAUACAAAGUGUUUGCAUUCAAACAGGAAGAAACUUUCUGGAAUUUCGGAUUGGCCAUGGAGCUGAUGCUUAUGAACUUAUUUUGCUAUUUGGAAUAAAUUGGUUUAAUAUAUGCCUUUUAUAACA
rnacentral:lncRNA from 1 species